AACGCGAAGAACCUUACCAACCCUUGACAUCCUCAGCUACCUCCAGAGAUGGAGGGUUCCCUUCGGGGACUGAGUGACAGGUGCUGCAUGGCUGUCGUCAGCUCGUGUCGUGAGAUGUUCGGUUAAGUCCGGCAACGAGCGCAACCCACAUCUUCAGUUGCCAUCAGUUCGGCUGGGCACUCUGGAGAAACUGCCCGUGAUAAGCGGGAGGAAGGUGUGGAUGACGUCAAGUCCUCAUGGCCCUUACGGGUUGGGCUACACACGUGCUACAAUGGUAGUGACAAUGGGUUAAUCCCAAAAAGCUAUCUCAGUUCGGAUUGGGGUCUGCAACUCGACCCCAUGAAGUCGGAAUCGCUAGUAAUCGCGUAACAGCAUGACGCGGUGAAUACGUUCCCGGGUCUUGUACACACCG
rnacentral:rRNA from 1 species